rnacentral:rRNA from 1 species
GACGAACGCUGGAGGCGUGCUUAACACAUGCAAGUCGAACGAUGAAAUGGAGCUUGCUCCAUGGAUUAGUGGCGAACGGGUGAGUAACACGUGAAUAACCUGCCCUUAAUUUUGGAAUAACCCAGGGAAACCUGGGCUAAUACCGGAUAAGUAAACCUGUGGCAUCACAUGGUUUUGGAAAGUUUUUCGAUUAAGGAUGGAUUCGCGGACUAGUAGCUUGUUGGUGAGGUUAUGGCUCACCAAGGCGACGACGGGUAGCCGGCCUGAGAGGGUGAACGGCCACACUGGGACUGAGACACGGACCAGACUCCUACGGGAGGCAGCAGUGGGGAAUAUUGCGCAAUGGACGAAAGUCUGACGCAGCGACGCCUCGUGAGGGACGAAGGUCUUCGGAUUGUAAACCUCUUUCAGCAGGGACGAAGCGAAAGUGACGGUACCUGCAGAAGAAGCACCGGCUAACUAUGUGCCAGCCGCCGCCGUAA